GCCUCCAGCCCUACCCAUAUUCCUGUAUUGAUUUAUUUAUUGAGACAGGGUCUCACUCUGUAGCCCAGGCCAGAGUGCAGUGGUGUGAUCAUGGUUGACUGCAGUUUUGACCUCCUGGGCUCAGGUGAUCCUCCCACCUUAGCCUCCCAGGUAGCUGGAACUAUAGGCACGUGCCACCAUGCUCAGCUAAUUUUUUUUGUUUGUUUUGUUUUUGUAGAGAUGGGGUUUCACAUGUUGCCCAGGCUGGUCUUGAACUCCUGAGCUCAAGUGAUCUGCCCGCCUCAGCCUCCCAAAGUCGGGUUUUUUUUUGAGACGAGUCUCACUCUGUUGCCCAGGCGUGGUGGUACGCACCUGUGGUACGCGACAGAGCGAGACUCCGUCUCAAAAAAAAAAAAAAAAAGUGUGGACCAUUCAGUUACUUAAUAAAUUGAACUGUUAGGUAUUUCUUUUGGUCUAGGGUGAAAAACUAUUAGAUAACUAAGGGUGGCACAAACUGAGAAAGGUUAAGAACCUCUGCUCAACCUGCAAAAUAAGUUCGAUGGUCCCAAGCCUAGGAACUCUCCUUUAGAUAUACACGGGAUUGCCAGCAGGUGGUGCUACUAAGCUUGAGUCAGCUGGGGAAGAGGAACUAUUUCUUUUCUUCUUCUUCUUUUUUUUUUUUUU
rnacentral:lncRNA from 1 species